UACGGGAGGCAGCAGUGGGGAAUAUUGCACAAUGGGCGCAAGCCUGAUGCAGCCAUGCCGCGUGUAUGAAGAAGGCCUUCGGGUUGUAAAGUACUUUCAGUCGUGAGGAAGGUGUUAAGGUUAAUAACCUUAGCAAUUGACGUUAGCGGCAGAAGAAGCACCGGCUAACUCCGUGCCAGCAGCCGCGGUAAUACGGAGGGUGCGAGCGUUAAUCGGAAUUACUGGGCGUAAAGGGCACGCAGGCGGUUAAUUAAGUUGGAUGUGAAAUCCCCGGGCUUAACCUGGGAAUGGCAUUCAAGACUGGUUAGCUAGAGUCUUGUAGAGGGGGUAGAAUUCCGAUGUGUAGCGGUGAAAUGCGUAGAGAUGUGGAGGAAUACCGGUGGCGAAGGCGGCCCCUGGACAAAGACUGACGCUCAUGUGCGAAAGCGUGGGGAGCAAACAGGGAUUAGAU
rnacentral:rRNA from 1 species